UGGGGAAUAUUGGACAAUGGGCGAAAGCCUGAUCCAGCAAUGCCGCGUGAGUGAUGAAGGCCUUCGGGUUGUAAAGCUCUUUUACCAGGGAUGAUAAUGACAGUGCCUGGAGAAUAAGCUCCGGCUAACUCCGUGCCAGCAGCCGCGGUAAGACGGAGGGGGCAAGCGUUAUCCGGAGUGAUUGGGCGUAAAGCGUCUGCAGGUGGCUAUGCAAGUCUGCUGUUAAAGAGUGGAGCUCAACUCCAUAAGGGCAGUGGAAACUGCGUGACUAGAGUACGUUCGGGGUAGAGGGAAUUCCUGGUGUAGCGGUGAAAUGCGUAGAUAUCAGGAAGAACACCGGUGGCGAAAGCGCUCUACUAGGCCGUAACUGACACUGAGAGACGAAAGCUAAGGGAGCGAAUGGGAUUAGAUACCCGCGUAGUCC
rnacentral:rRNA from 1 species